GUGCCUCCUACACUUUACGACCCAUUUCCCUAUACAUUAUAUGCUCCUUCACAAGUCUGUGAAGUAGGCGUCUCCAUUUAAAACACUAAGAAUCGAGGCUCCGAAAGCUCAAACGGUUUACCUGCCACUUUACCGCUGCUUAAUAGGUACUAUGGGUGUAACGCAAGCCCACAGCUUCUGACCACGAAAUGAGAAACAAAACACUUUAGGGCACAGAGGACCCAGAAGUCACAUUAUUCACCCCAGAGAGAGAAUUCAGAGGGUAAACCCCUUGGCCCGGAAUUCAACGCUGGAGCAAUAGUGGAUUGCGGAGAGUCUGGGAGGGACUGAGGCUUGAGGAACUGGCUACCAGAACCAGACCCCACGGUAAGCGCGCGGCCACACGCCAGCCCUUCUGCAGGACGGACCGAGUCUGGUAAUGCCAGAGGCUUUAUGUUGCCGCAAACGACAGAAUUCAAGAUCCAUGAAGGCUGAGAGGGACAGAAUAUCAGGCUGGUUCUGCUGCUUAUCUUUGCUCCUAUGGAAGCUCACAUUGAGGACCCAUCUCUGUCCUUUCAAGUCUUGUCCAUCCUUCAAAGCCACCCCGUGAUGUCUUUCUGGACUAUGCUGUAGGAAGAGACAGAGAGGAGAAACAUAUUUGAAUGAACUAUCAACUGGACUUGUCAA